rnacentral:rRNA from 1 species
GGUUAAGCGACUAAGCGUACACGGUGGAUGCCCUGGCAGUCAGAGGCGAUGAAGGACGUGCUAAUCUGCGAUAAGCGUCGGUAAGGUGAUAUGAACCGUUAUAACCGGCGAUUUCCGAAUGGGGAAACCCAGUGUGAUUCGUCACACUAUCAUUAACUGAAUCCAUAGGUUAAUGAGGCGAACCGGGGGAACUGAAACAUCUAAGUACCCCGAGGAAAAGAAAUCAACCGAGAUUCCCCCAGUAGCGGCGAGCGAACGGGGAGCAGCCCAGAGCCUGAAUCAGUGUGUGUGUUAGUGGAAGCGUCUGGAAAGGCGCGCGAUACAGGGUGACAGCCCCGUACACAAAAAUGCACAUACUGUGAGCUCGAUGAGUAGGGCGGGACACGUGGUAUCCUGUCUGAAUAUGGGGGGACCAUCCUCCAAGGCUAAAUACUCCUGACUGACCGAUAGUGAACCAGUACCGUGAGGGAAAGGCGAAAAGAACCCCGGCGAGGGGAGUGAAAAAGAACCUGAAACCGUGUACGUACAAGCAGUGGGAGCACGCUUAGGCGUGUGACUGCGUACCUUUUGUAUAAUGGGUCAGCGACUUAUAUUCUGUAGCAAGGUUAACCGAAUAGGGGAGCCGAAGGGAAACCGAGUCUUAACUGGGCGUUAAGUUGCAGGGUAUAGACCCGAAACCCGGUGAUCUAGCCAUGGGCAGGUUGAAGGUUGGGUAACACUAACUGGAGGACCGAACCGACUAAUGUUGAAAAAUUAGCGGAUGACUUGUGGCUGGGGGUGAAAGGCCAAUCAAACCGGGAGAUAGCUGGUUCUCCCCGAAAGCUAUUUAGGUAGCGCCUCGUGAAUUCAUCUCCGGGGGUAGAGCACUGUUUCGGCAAGGGGGUCAUCCCGACUUACCAACCCGAUGCAAACUGCGAAUACCGGAGAAUGUUAUCACGGGAGACACACGGCGGGUGCUAACGUCCGUCGUGAAGAGGGAAACAACCCAGACCGCCAGCUAAGGUCCCAAAGUCAUGGUUAAGUGGGAAACGAUGUGGGAAGGCCCAGACAGCCAGGAUGUUGGCUUAGAAGCAGCCAUCAUUUAAAGAAAGCGUAAUAGCUCACUGGUCGAGUCGGCCUGCGCGGAAGAUGUAACGGGGCUAAACCAUGCACCGAAGCUGCGGCAGCGACGCUGAUGCGUUGUUGGGUAGGGGAGCGUUCUGUAAGCCUGCGAAGGUGUGCUGUGAGGCAUGCUGGAGGUAUCAGAAGUGCGAAUGCUGACAUAAGUAACGAUAAAGCGGGUGAAAAGCCCGCUCGCCGGAAGACCAAGGGUUCCUGUCCAACGUUAAUCGGGGCAGGGUGAGUCGACCCCUAAGGCGAGGCCGAAAGGCGUAGUCGAUGGGAAACAGGUUAAUAUUCCUGUACUUGGUGUUACUGCGAAGGGGGGACGGAGAAGGCUAUGUUGGCCGGGCGACGGUUGUCCCGGUUUAAGCGUGUAGGCUGGUUUUCCAGGCAAAUCCGGAAAAUCAAGGCUGAGGCGUGAUGACGAGGCACUACGGUGCUGAAGCAACAAAUGCCCUGCUUCCAGGAAAAGCCUCUAAGCAUCAGGUAACAUCAAAUCGUACCCCAAACCGACACAGGUGGUCAGGUAGAGAAUACCAAGGCGCUUGAGAGAACUCGGGUGAAGGAACUAGGCAAAAUGGUGCCGUAACUUCGGGAGAAGGCACGCUGAUAUGUAGGUGAAGUCCCUCGCGGAUGGAGCUGAAAUCAGUCGAAGAUACCAGCUGGCUGCAACUGUUUAUUAAAAACACAGCACUGUGCAAACACGAAAGUGGACGUAUACGGUGUGACGCCUGCCCGGUGCCGGAAGGUUAAUUGAUGGGGUCAGCGCAAGCGAAGCUCUUGAUCGAAGCCCCGGUAAACGGCGGCCGUAACUAUAACGGUCCUAAGGUAGCGAAAUUCCUUGUCGGGUAAGUUCCGACCUGCACGAAUGGCGUAAUGAUGGCCAGGCUGUCUCCACCCGAGACUCAGUGAAAUUGAACUCGCUGUGAAGAUGCAGUGUACCCGCGGCAAGACGGAAAGACCCCGUGAACCUUUACUAUAGCUUGACACUGAACAUUGAGCCUUGAUGUGUAGGAUAGGUGGGAGGCUUUGAAGUGUGGACGCCAGUCUGCAUGGAGCCGACCUUGAAAUACCACCCUUUAAUGUUUGAUGUUCUAACGUUGACCCGUAAUCCGGGUUGCGGACAGUGUCUGGUGGGUAGUUUGACUGGGGCGGUCUCCUCCUAAAGAGUAACGGAGGAGCACGAAGGUUGGCUAAUCCUGGUCGGACAUCAGGAGGUUAGUGCAAUGGCAUAAGCCAGCUUGACUGCGAGCGUGACGGCGCGAGCAGGUGCGAAAGCAGGUCAUAGUGAUCCGGUGGUUCUGAAUGGAAGGGCCAUCGCUCAACGGAUAAAAGGUACUCCGGGGAUAACAGGCUGAUACCGCCCAAGAGUUCAUAUCGACGGCGGUGUUUGGCACCUCGAUGUCGGCUCAUCACAUCCUGGGGCUGAAGUAGGUCCCAAGGGUAUGGCUGUUCGCCAUUUAAAGUGGUACGCGAGCUGGGUUUAGAACGUCGUGAGACAGUUCGGUCCCUAUCUGCCGUGGGCGCUGGAGAACUGAGGGGGGCUGCUCCUAGUACGAGAGGACCGGAGUGGACGCAUCACUGGUGUUCGGGUUGUCAUGCCAAUGGCACUGCCCGGUAGCUAAAUGCGGAAGAGAUAAGUGCUGAAAGCAUCUAAGCACGAAACUUGCCCCGAGAUGAGUUCUCCCUGACUCCUUGAGAGUCCUGAAGGAACGUUGAAGACGACGACGUUGAUAGGCCGGGUGUGUAAGCGCAGCGAUGCGUUGAGCUAACCGGUACUAAUGAACCGUGAGGCUUAACCUUAC